rnacentral:rRNA from 1 species
UACGUAGGGGGCAAGCGUUGUUCGGAAUUACUGGGCGUAAAGGGCGCGUAGGCGGCAUGGCAAGUCGGGAGUGAAAGCCCGGGGCUCAACCCCGGAACUGCUUUCGAAACUGCCAAGCUAGAGUACGGAAGGGGCAACUGGAAUUCCCAGUGUAGCGGUGAAAUGCGUAGAUAUUGGGAAGAACACCGGCGGCGAAGGCGACUCUCUGGUCCAUAACUGACGCUGAGUGUGCGAAAGCUAGGGGAGCAAA